rnacentral:misc_RNA from 1 species
GAUGAAUAACGCAGCAAAAUGCGAUAAGUAAUGUGAAUUGCAGAAUUCAGUGAAUCAUCGAAUCUUUGAACGCACAUUGCGCCCGCCAGUAUUCUGGCGGGCAUGCCUGUUCGAGCGUCAUUUCAACCCUCAAGCACAGCUUGGUGUUGGGACUCGCGUUAAUUCGCGUUCCCCAAAUUGAUUGGCGGUCACGUCGAGCUUCCAUAGCGUAGUAGUAAAACCCUCGUUACUGGUAAUCGUCGCGGCCACGCCGUUAAACCCCAACUUCUGAAUGUUGACCUCGGAUCAGGUAGGAAUACCCGCUGAACUUAAGCAUAUCAAUAAGCGGAGGA